GCGGUGGCCAAUCACCGUCUUGCUUUUUUAUUAAAUACAUAUAUGUAUUAUCAGAAAAGCAAGACGGUGAUUGGCCACCGCGAUGCCGCUUUGCCGCGUCCUGUGUGCAGAAGUCAUCACACAUCUGAUGUAGCAAACUCGCGGUCUAUACCUGCCGCGUUUUCGCCGUCAUGUCAUGACGGCAGGCUCUGCUCGAUUUCUGCUGCAUUUUUGCUAUCAGUACUUCAUGUGAUACAUUGUGCUGUAUUUUCGCCAAGUUUCUGGUAUCGCAGCGUGAUAACAAAUAUGUCAAAUUUCUAGCUACAUUUUAUUAAUUUAAUGUGACAUCAUGACAUCUGUUUUUUUAUUUAAUUUUUAGUGGUAUAUUGUGUCAACACACAAUGUCUGAUUUUUGUUUUGUUAAUGUCUUUAAAUUUUGUUGUACUUUUGCUGCAUUUUUGAGGGCACAUUGUGACGCAAAGUCUACUCAAUUUUUGUCGUGUUUCUGUUAAUGUUAGUUGAAACGGCAAACUGUAAUUGCUUGCUGUCCAACUUUUGCCAGCAUAAUAUGUGUCAAAAUUUUUCAGUUCGUGCUCUCGGCAGGUUUGGCUAUCUGGGAUAAUUACAUUUAUUCAUUUAUACAUUAUUUUAUUGUAAAAAUUUACAUAUAUAACUUAAAAAUGCUCUUUCUACACGAAAUGUUAUGGAAACUUCAGGGCUUUAGGUAUACAUAAAUUGUAGUGUAAAUGAUUUUUUAGCCACACCAGUCAUAAGCCGUUUUAAUAUAAUAGGAUCUUAACAACUUGUAUUUGAAAUACCCUGAAGGUAAAUGUUGUAGAAGUACUUAAUGCUUUUACAAACGAUUUCAGAAAAUGGAGUAGCUGCUCAUGUUAAACAGUCCUCGGGAAAAGUACCAAUGCGUGAAACUUCUAGUACUAACUUAAAUUAUACUAGUACAAAUAAAGCCAAACAUGCAGGCGUGUUGAAGAAAGUUGCAAAUUAUGUUCCUACAUCGGAACCCAAUUCUGAGUUGAGUGAUCGUUGUGAGUCCUUUUCAGAAGACGAGGAGUCUAGUUUCAUCGAUAUAAGGAAAGAGUCAUUGUACAGUAGUUCUGUAAAAUCCUUAGCAAAUGCAGAAACAAAAUUUCAACAACCGGAUAAAUUCUUGGACGUGUCAUAUAAUUCUGUAACAAAAGGUCCUACAGAGUAUUACCGAUUCAUCGCUCGUAAAUUAAUUUCGCUCGAUUUGCAAAUGGGAGCUCUAAAACAAGGGCAAAAGAAAAUAUUAGAAAAAUUAAAGGGGAAUUUGGAUCACAAAACUCGUCAACCUGAAAGCCUCGAUGACGUCGAGACCAUCGACAUUUCGUGUAACCUUCCACUAAAAGAUCAAGUGACUUUGCAAGAAUUGGAACUUAAAUUAAAAGAGGAUGAGAAAUAUAAAAAAAAACGAUUAAGGAGUUGGCAAACAUAGGAGGCCGCGAUAUGAAGAAUUUGGCCUUAAAAAUAAUGCGACAGACAUUCUCGAACGAACUUGCCGUUCAUUACAGCUGGGUCGGUGGCAAGAAGAAAAACGUAUUUUCAGACCUAAUGAUAUGCAAAGUGAUACUUGCUGCACUAAAAAAACAAUAUGAAAACUACACGGAGGAUGAGAUGUCAGCUCCAAUCAAAAUUUGGCUUGCUCAUGCCAAAGAGAGAUCCUCUAAAAGUCUGCUAAAGCAGAACGAACAAAAUAAUUAAUUUAUAUUUUAAACUAUUCUAUUUCUAAUUAUUUUAACUGAUUAGUUAUAAAAAAAUUAAUAUAUUACGUACCGAAAUAUAUUACGUACCGUUCAAUAUAGUUCAGUUUAGCGACUGUAACUAUUAACUAUAAUAAUUUAGUAUUUAAUUUUUCAAAAGCUGAACUUUUGAGCAAUAAUAUACUGUCUAUUCGUUCUAUAAUUUUUAUUUUACCGUUUGUAUUCUUACAUUGACUGAUUAGUUAUAAAACUAAAUAUACUACCGUUCAAU
rnacentral:misc_RNA from 1 species